GUAGCCACAGGCCAGUUCUGUCUUUCUAGCCUUGGCUCUCAGGGAGAACUUUGCCCCAGGUCAGAUCCAAGAUCCUGACUUACCCAAGAAAGGGAGUUUAGAUGUCAUAUGCGGAGAGCUGGGAGCCAAAUGUACUUUGCCCUAAAGAGCACAGUUUUGUGUGAGGGAGAAACAUACAAGUUGUCAUAGAGAAAUACAGGACUGAGACUGGGGAUGGAUCAGAGAAGGCAUGCCAAGGGAGAUAAUGCUUGAGCUAGGUCUUGAAGAUUGCUGCAGGAAUGGGGAUCUUCCCAACCGAAGGAUCAAACUCAAGUCUCUUGCAUCUCCACCAUGGGCAGGCAGAUUUUUACCACUGGCGCCACUUGGGAAACCUGAGUACUGGAUGUAUCAUAUUUGCUAAAUGGAGCCCUAGAGAGUCAGUGCAUCUUCAAUGAUUUUGCCAGUUGCUGGCAGCCCUGGAGAUGCAAAGGUGAGGGGCAACAGUCGCUGGCCUGGAGGACAUCACAGUCUGUCAUCUGUGACCGUCACUCCACUUCCCUCUCCACACUCUGCUCCGGAAUUUUCCAAACACAGAACCAGGAAGGUUUUUCAAGUCCACAGUGACUCAUAACCUCAUUUAGCAAAAGAGGUCACAGGAAUUCAGAGAGGGAAAGUCAUUUAUCUAAGAUUACAUCGCAUGAGAGGGGCUGGUUCAUACAGUGGCACCCUUUGAACAUUAUCCCUAACUGCUGUCUCCAUCAUAAAUACAUCAUUUAAGAAGAGUUCGAGGGACUUUGCUGGCUGUCAGUGGUUAAGACCCUACACAUGGGUUCAGUCCCUG
rnacentral:lncRNA from 1 species